rnacentral:rRNA from 1 species
CCAGCACCUGCGGUAAUUCCAGCUCCAAUAGCGUAUAUUUAAGUUGUUGCAGUUAAAAAGCUCGUAGUUGGAUUUCGGGUGGGCGGCGCCGGUCCGUCGUUUCGAUGUGCACUGGCUUCCCCCAUCUUCUUGUCGGGGACGCACUCCUGGUCUUCACUGCCCGGGAUGCGGAGUCGGCGAUGUUACUUUGAGUAAAUUAGAGUGUUCAAAGCAAGCCUUCGCUCUGAAUACGUUAGCAUGGAAUAACACGAUAGGACUCUGGUCCUAUUUGGUUGGUCUUCGGGACCGGAGUAAUGACUAAUAGGGACAGUUGGGGGCAUUCGUAUUUCAUUGUCAGAGGUGAAAUUCUUGGAUUUAUGAAAGACGAACUUCUGCGAAAGCAUUUGCCAAGGAUGUUUUCAUUAAUCAAGAACGAAAGU